rnacentral:rRNA from 1 species
AAAGCGGCGAACGGGUGAGUAACACGUGGGUAAUCGACCCUCGGCACCGGGAUAGCCCGGGGAAACCCGGAUUAAUACCGGAUGGCCUUUCGAGUUUUCGGACUCGUCAGAAAAGGUAGCUUCGGCCUCCGGCCGAGGACGAGCCCGCGGCGGAUUAGCCUGUUGGUGGGGUAACGGCCUACCAAGGCGACGAUCCGUAGCUGGUCUGAGAGGAUGAUCAGCCACACUGGGACUGAGACACGGCCCAG